rnacentral:lncRNA from 1 species
GAUAUUUUGUGCAAAUUAGAUGUUCAUCAUCAACUGUCUUGGAAAAAAAUUGAUUCUUAAUUUUUUAAUUAAGCAUGAACUUCCAGUUUUUAAACUCUGAUGCAGAAAGAUGGCUGCUGCAUCUCUGAGCACUGCAUCAGUUCCUAAGAAGGUGGAAUGGUGAAAUGUCUCAAACUUUCUUGGAAGCCCCAUUAGGUGACUUGUGUUUCUGUCUCAUUGGCUACAACUGAGUUACGUGGCCACCCCUUGCUGCAGUGAAUCUAGGAAAGUGAGUAGUAUUGAUGACUUUUCUGGUAUUGUUUUGGAUCUUUUCGUUUCUUCAAGUGUACCAUCAAAAAUCCUGGUAUUCUGGCCAGACACAGUGGCUUACGCCUAUAAGCCCAGGAUUUUGGGAGGCCAAGUCAGGCAAAUCACUUGAGGUCAGGAGUUCGAG